rnacentral:rRNA from 1 species
AUACGAAGGGUGCGAGCGUUAAUCGGAAUUACUGGGCGUAAAGCGUGCGCAGGCGGCUCUAUAAGACAGAUGUGAAAUCCCCGGGCUUAACCUGGGAACUGCGUUUGUGACUGUAGGGCUAGAGUGCGGCAGAGGGGGGUAGAAUUCCACGUGUAGCAGUGAAAUGCGUAGAGAUGUGGAGGAAUACCGAUGGCGAAGGCAGCCCCCUGGGUCGACACUGACGCUCAUGCACGAAAGCGUGGGGAGC